UACGUAGGGGGCAAGCGUUGUCCGGAUUUAUUGGGCGUAAAGAGCGUGUAGGCGGCCAAGCAGGUCAGCUGUGAAAACUCGAGGCUCAACCUCGAGACGUCGGUUGAAACCGCUUGGCUAGAGUCCGGAAGAGGAGAGUGGAAUUCCCGGUGUAGCGGUGGAAUGCGCAGAUAUCAGGAGGAACACCGAUGGCGAAGGCAGGUCACUGGGCCGCAACUGACGCUGAGGAGCGAAAGCAUGGGGAGCGAACAGG
rnacentral:rRNA from 1 species